CCUACGGGUGGCUGCAGUAAGGAAUAUUGGUCAAUGGAGGAAACUCUGAACCAGCCAUCCCGCGUGAAGGAUGAAGGGGCUCUGCCUUGUAAACUUCUUUUGUCUGGGGCGAAAAAGCUCGAUUUAUCGAGAACUGACGGUACCAGAAGACUAAGCACCGGCUAACUCCGUGCCAGCAGCCGCGGUAAUACUGAGGGUGCAGGCGUUAUCGGGAAUAACUGGGUUGAAGGGGGCUUAGGACGGCUGUGGUGAAAGGCUGUGGCUUAACCAUGGAAUUGCCAUUGAUACUGCAGAGCUUGAAUGAGGUUGAGGUUGGCGGAAUGUGACAUGUAGCGGUGAAAUGCUUAGAGAGGUCAUGGAACACCGAUUGCGAAGGCAGCUGACUGGACCUAUAUUGACGCUGAGGCACGAAAGCGUGGGGAGCGAACAGGAUUAGAUACCCGUGUAGUC
rnacentral:rRNA from 1 species